UAUUUUACCUGGCAGGGGAGAUAACAUGAUCAAGAUAGUGGUGCACCCAAGGAGAGGCUCAGCCAUUGCACUCUGGUCGUCCUGACACAUGUGAAUUCCCUAAAUCUGGGAACCGGGACUGCAAUAUUUUCGAUAGUAGGGGACUUCAUCUGCACCAUCUCCUU